GGCGGCAGGCCUAACACAUGCAAGUCGAGCGCACCCUUCGGGGCGAGCGGCGGACGGGUUAGUAACGCGUGGGAAUGUACCCAGAUCUAAGGAAUAGCCACUGGAAACGGUGAGUAAUACCUUAUACGCCCUUCGGGGGAAAGAUUUAUCGGAUUUGGAUCAGCCCGCGUUAGAUUAGAUAGUUGGUGGGGUAAUGGCCUACCAAGUCUACGAUCUAUAGCUGGUUUUAGAGGAUGAUCAGCAACACUGGGACUGAGACACGGCCCAGACUCCUACGGGAGGCAGCAGUGGGGAAUCUUGGACAAUGGGCGCAAGCCUGAUCCAGCCAUGCCGCGUGUGUGAUGAAGGCCUUAGGGUCGUAAAGCA
rnacentral:rRNA from 1 species